UUCUCGAGGUCCGGAAUCAAAGUCUGCUGGAACUUGUUGGGCAAAUCUGUUAAAUCUGUGAAUCCUGAAAACAGAUCAUCUUGAUCAUCUUCUUGGUCAAUCCAGCUGGAUUGUGCUUGUUUCGUUAUCUUCUGCUGGAUAGGUCUGGAUGUCUUUGGUGGAGGUGGGUUUGGUUGUUUUGUUCUUGGGUGUGCCUAGUUUUAGCAGAUCCGAGGAUUUCUUCGAGGAAAAUGAGGUAGGUUUGGUAGAGUUUGUGGCUUUCGAUGUGGAAUUUAGCUUUUUGAUCUUGGAGGUGGAAUUCAGCUUCUUGAGCUCAAUCUUAGAAAAAACACUGGAAGUGGAAGCUGCUUUGGUAGAAUUCGUAGAUUUGGUGAGCUUGGUUUGGUUUUUGCCGGACAAAUCGAGUUUGGUUUGGUUUUUCGUGGAUAAACUAGGCUUGAUGAGCUUGGUCUGGUUCUUGGUGGAUAGGCUGGUGGGUUUCUUUUUCGGCGGGUCUUGUGCUUCUUUUUCUAACAUUCUUCUUCUACCAAGCAACUGUUUGCUCGGAAGCUGGGAUUCUGAGCAGGCACAAUAGAGAAUAGAAGUAAAGAGGAACAACACAAGAUAAAGCAGAAGUACCUUUCUGAGACUGAAGUACGUUAUAAGUGGAGCCAUUUCUGAAACCGAGGUAUAUUGCCUUGAAGUUUUCUGUUAGGGGUGCUUCAAAGAUCAAACAGACUUUCGAUUGGAUCCAGAAUUAUUAUAGGAGAGAGAGAGAGAGAGAGAGAGGUGGAAAUUAACACUGGUGCAUUUAUAGUAGACAAAGGAAAGCAAUGAGAUGGGAGGAGAAUUUAAUGCGAAAACACUGUCACUGUUGAACUUUAAAGAAUAUGAAAUGGGUCACAUGGUGCAAGUAGGUACUGCAGAAUCCCCAACCUUUACCUACGCGGUUUUACCGGCCCCGUGUUGCUGCCAGUUCACUGCCUCUCUUUCUGUGCGAGUUCUAAGCAAUAAUGUAAUCAAAACUUAUCUAUUGAGCUUCGUGCAAAUGUUAUUUCUAUGUAAUCAAUUAUUCUAUAUAUGUCAAAGUAACAUCAAUUCACAGAAAUACUAUAAAUUUUAAAUAUACUUGUAUAUAUAUAGAAUUGUAU